UUUUUAUGCUGUGUAUAAUGAGCUUUGACUUUAUUCUCUAACACACUAGAAAGCCAUGGAAGGAUUUUAAGCAAUAUCAUUGUUUCAUGAACAAAUCUUUGUUUUAGGAAAACAAAACACUAGUACUGUUAUUGAACUACAAAGGUGAUUGGAUAUCUAUUACAUAUAGGAAUUUGGUGUGGACAAGAGGUUUCCAUACUUUCUUGGUUUCUUAGGAAAUGUUCAUGGUACCCUCGAAGAAAAUUAAUAUUUUUGUUUCCAUCUUAUAUAAACACAAUCACUUCCUAAAAAGGAUGUGCACACCUAUUGGGCUCUACAGAACGUCUUGCUCUCAGUGAUUACGCUUUUCUCCUUGCUUUUUUUUUUAAUGCUGAAUACAAAUAUCCUCCAACCCAAUUUUAAAAAUAACUUAUAUGUAGUCUGGAGCCAGUAGAUUUCCCAAAGCAUGAGCAAAUUCUAUUUUACUGGAGUCAAUAAUGUUUCAGUCUCUCAAGUCCAUGUGUGAGAUAUAGUGAAUCAUUGUCAUAUUAUCAUUAUAUCACUAUGGCUCAUCUCAUAAGAUCCCGCAUCAUCUGAUGGCCCUAUCAUUUCUGCUUACUUUGCAGAAUAAUAUGUUAGUCUCUUCCUAAAAUCCAGAAAA
rnacentral:lncRNA from 1 species